NNNNNNNNNNNNNNNNNNNNNNNNCACCAGGCACAUAGCACAGAUCAACCCCAAACUAGGAGGCAAAGGUGGCCUGCAAUGGCCGGCAGCACACGGUGACCACAUCCCUUGCACUGGGGUCUGCAAGCAGUACAAGCAGAGGGAAGAGGAGCGUGGAGAGCUGCUGCAGCCCCUGUGCUGCCCGCUGGGGCUCAGAGGCAGGGUGAGACCCAUGGGUGUCAGCAGGGCUUGUGCCCCAGCACAAGAGCCCCGUGCAGGGCAGAGCCCGGGGGCUGCAAGGGGCCUGGUCCUGCUUGCAGCAUCCCAGCCCUCCUCCAGCAGCAGGGAGGAACACGGGGCAGCGUCUGGCCCCACUGCCCCUCAUUCCUGUGCUGCUGCUGCAGGACCAAGGAGAGGUGAUGCAGGAGUGGGUGGAGAAGGGCAGGAGCCCCCAGGAGCUGGGGACAGGGUCUACAAGGUGCUGUCCCUCAGGCACAGCUGUGUCUCCAGCCAGAACCAGGGGUGGAUGCUCACCCCAUUGAAGGAGGCUGAUGGGAAAGUGAAGAUCUCCACCCCGUUGUCAGCACUAAUAAAAGACACCUGCUGCUGGGUACAGUCCAGACAGACCCAGAUCCUCGUGGGGACAGGGGACAGGGACAAGGGGGUGCGAGAAGAUGUGAGAGACCAGAGCUGCCCCUCAUUGUACUGCACAGCCCAGAUCCCUUCUCCAGGGCUCGUGUCGAUCUCCCCCUUCCUCUUCACAGAUGCCCUGGCCACCCCCACAGCCCACAAAGAAAAUUUUAUCCUCUCCCCCUCUCCCUCCACCACACAGCAGUGCCUCCCCUCUCUGAACUCCUCACGGCCCAGCACGCAGAACCAACAGUCAAAUCUCUCUGGUGUGUCAGGAACCUGCUGCCGUUCACUUUCCAAACUCACACUGCUGUAGUCCUGACACACAACAAGUUCAGGAUGAGCCGUGUGCGGAUCCAGGGUCACCUUCACUGCAGGGACAGAAGGAGCCAGGCCAUCAGGGGCAGAGCUCAGCC
rnacentral:lncRNA from 1 species